CAGCAGCCACGGGAAUACGUAGGGUGCAAGCGUUAAUUGGAAUUACUGGGCGUAAAGCGUGCGCAGGCGGUUUGUUAAGACAGAUGUGAAAUCCCCGGGCUCAACCUGGGAACUGCAUUUGUGACUGGCAGGCUAGAGUAUGGCAGAGGGGGGUGGAAUUCCGCGUGUAGCAGUGAAAUGCGUAGAUAUGCGGAGGAACACCGAUGGCGAAGGCAGCUCCCUGGGCCAAUACUGACGCUCAUGCACGAAAGCGUGGGGAGCAAACAGGAUUAGAUACCCCAGUAGUCCCUGUCUCUUAUAC
rnacentral:rRNA from 1 species